AGAACCACAUUUCUGUCUGUUAGAAAUGUUUCCUUUACAGCUGUGGGGAGCUGAGGAGAAAUCCUCAGUUCUCAGAAGCAAAUUAUCUGACAGCACAAGAUUUAUGGACGCCCUGUUUAGGGGAACUUUCAUCUUGACUGUGUGCUCAUUACAGGUAAGUGGUGACAGCAGGUGCUGCAGAUUCACAACGUGAUGGGUUUUUGUUUCCUGACAAAUAGAUUCUGCACAGUUUUUAAGAGAAUUGAAAUUAUUUGUGUUUUACUUCUGUGUUGAGUUCUACCGUUAGGCAAAAGGGGGAAAAACAAAAAAAAAGAAAACUCAGCUGUGGUAUCUUUGUCUGCAUGGGUCUAGAUAUGCCCUCUGUUCUGUGCAAGCUUGUAAUUCCAAUGCGCUGUAGUAGAACCAUAAUGACAUGUUGAAAUGUGCCUCAGGCAAGUCAUGCUUCUCAGAGCACUGGUCCUGCUUUUCAGUACUUCGAUUAACCUAGAUGUUACUGUGAGGAGCCAAAUACACUGCAACUCAUGAAUGCAAUAAAAAGUGACAGGUUGGAAGGAGAUUAAUGCCCGUGUUGAUGAAUGGACAUAAAAAUCAUAGUUGCAAAUACUGAUUUCCUCCUUAGGAAUAAUAAUAAUAAAAAAUAAUGGAUAAGAAUGAUUUGUGAACAUUAGGUAUAAAUUCUGCAUUGAUUUUGAAAUAAAUUCUUCAGAGGAGGGAUGCAGAGUAAAUAGGUGUGCAGUGAGCACAAAAGAACUCAUCAGCAGAAUAACUUUGAUUUGGGCUAGGAAGAUGGAGUUAAACCAAGAGCAAGGUUUUGGUUGAGCAGUAAAAUUCCGCUAGUAAAAUACAGCAGGGCUUGAAAAUGAAAGAUGUGAGGUUGAAUGGAAACACAGGUUUCCCUAAUUUACACAGGGCCAACAGAGCAACAUUCCUUCACAGGGAGAAGUUUUCAGUCUGGCACCAGCAUGCAGCACGAAAAACUGCAAGAGAACAGAGUUUCUUCUUUGUUACCUGCAAACUGAAUUUAAUUCAUUCAGUCCAAACCACACGACUCAUGCAGUCAACAGAUGCACACUGACAAUGUGCAUGUAAAAACAUCCAACAAACUCAAAAGAAACAAGAUAUUAGAGAAUGGUUUAAAGAAACUUAGGUUGGAGGGCAGUAGUGAGAGCCCAGCACUGCUGUAAUGGAAAAGGCAGUGACACAAUGCACGCAGAGCACUCCUCUAUCAUUUCCUAUGCAGCAGCUACGUGCUUCUGGGAGGAAUGACAACGUCUCACUUGUAUUCAACAGAUGAAUGACAGUUUAAGUUCAUAAGUUGCUGAUUCUAAAUCUUUUGCUAGCUCCUCUCCUUUUCCUCUCCGCUUUUAAACUUCCUACCUUUUGGGCAAGACCCAGAAGCAAUCUUGCUGCAGUUCUUUCUGCAUGCUGUUGAUUCAUCUCUGGAUUAAGUAGUAGAGCAUGGGGAGAUCAAGAACUGAGCUGAACAUUCUGCGCUGGGGUGUCAUGUUGGCUUUGCUAAAGACUUCAUUCCAAUUGCUUUCCUGUAAUUUUGAAGAUGUUUUAAUUCAUCUACCUUGAACUUGUGUAAACAUGCAUGUAUUGUAGAAAAAGAGCCAAACAAAGCAUCACAGACCUUUUUUCUAAGCACAGCUCUCGAUAAAUCUCCCAGAAAACACAGUGAAAAGAUUGAGAUGCCACCCUUGUAAACAUGCCAUGCUUCAAACUGCAAUAGCAUAGUAUGACCAUCUUGCCUCAAAAUAAUGAACAACCCUUUAAAUAUUUAGCGUAUGUUACAGUGAAUUUCAUUUGUGUCUCAAAUAUAGAAUAUGCACGGAGAUGUGCAGACUUUUUUUUCCAGGUCUACCUCAUUGUGUACCUACCUGCUGAACCCGCAUGCUCCCAUGCAGCAGCCUUCAUGGUUUGCACUGCUAGGAAGUCUACUUCAGUCUGAAAGAUUUACUAUGUAAUCAGACUGACUAUUUAAUUGUUUAAAGUGUAUCUAGUAAUCUCAGUUCACAAGGGCAGCAGCUAUGCAGAAAAUACAGGAUAAUUCCUCUUAUCUGCCUUCAGUAUAUGUCCUACAGUCAAUCACGAUCAAAGUCAAGUGGUAUGGAAACACAAACCCCUAGCCUUCUGUGCUAUAAAACCAGCUCUCCUUUCUGUCUCCUUUGGAAGACAAGCCAGGCACAUCUGUGUGCCAAACUGCAUGGUCUGGUAAAACAGCCCAUUUAAACUCAGCUUGUGAGAUGUAGCUCUUAGAUCAGGUGCACAGAGGACUGUCAAGCCAAACUAAAAGCCAGCUAACUGCUUGGUAGCACCCAUAAAUGCAGCAUAGAAAAGAUUCAGUUGAACCACAGACUGCCUCACUUCAAUCAGAAGCUGGGCAGGGACACCAAGCAACUGAGUUUCAGGGAAGCUUGCUUGCUACCUUGGGAAAGUGGCAGUUCUUCACAAGGCAAAACUUUCUUCCUCUUGAUGAAGGUAAGGAGAAAUUCUGUCCUCAAGGCAGACUCCAAAUGUGCUCUUCCUUUUUGGCUCUGGAAGAGGAAGGGCAUCUUGGAGGUCAUCAUUGGAGCUUGACUUCACUCUUGGCUUUUUUAUCCUUGUAAAAUUUUCUCUUGGACAAUUCUAAGUAUCAUUCCUCAUGGAUUACUGAUAUCCACUGCUAGAAUCUUCCCAGGCUUCUUUUUACUUACUAAUUCAAAUGCUCUGUUAGGUUUUCUGCAGAGUACUAGCCGCUCAGACCAAGUAUCUGCACUGAUGAAACCAAAUUGCAGAGAAUGAUUUAAUGCUAAAAUAAAAGUAGCUGCGGAAUAAACCCUGCAAAUAUAAACAACUGUGAUCCAAAUCCAGGAAAUAGAAGUUUGAAUAAAGCCUGAACUUCUGAGCUCUUAGCAAGGGUUGACAUGCCCUACUGAAAUUAUUUGAGUACAUCUUCAGGCCAACAGUAGCUUCCUUAAAACAAACAAAUGUAAUAAUAAUAAUUAAAAUUAAAAAAAAAAAAGGCAGCUCUGUGUUUAGAUUCUUUACCGCAUGCAAUUUCAGUGUUAGCUCCUAAUACUGAAUGCCAUUACCAGGCACAUAAAACAAGCUCAGUGUGGGAAUUGCUAGUUUUCUAAAGCGAUAAAGCAAAAGGAAAAGCUCCUUUUACCAUCUUAAAGCUCAGUAAAAAAAUGUACUUUCACGAUUAACAUACAGAGCAGAAAGGGCUUCAAGCUUUAAGAUUUUUUGGGGGGUACUGGGGAGUUAACAAAACUUAAAGAAGAACUUGUGUAAGCAUCUGAUGCCUCCUUGCUACAUUGCGAACUCCAACCAGUUUUCAGUGCAAUCUGUGAGGCUUGUGGAUUCCCCAGAUCAAAACCCCAACUUCUUAGAGAAAGAAUGAGGUUGAAGAGAAGGAAGGAGGAGUGGGGCUUACCACAGGCUGUGAGCAUCCCAUCCAGAGUCUUGAAUCAGUGCCCACACACUGAGUGCUUUGUUGGCCUUUUAAACUGGUGUUAUGUAAAUACAUUAUGUUAUAUUUAUCUUAAGCUGCUGCAGUCUAUAAAUAUUCAAGUGUCUGCUGCCAUUUUUAUGAAUGUAAGUAAGACCCAUGUUGCACUAAUGGCAGUUACGUUUUCAAUCACAGAUGGGGAAGAAUCUCAAGAGACACUUAAAAGCAUGGAGGGUAUUAAACAUCCAAUAAGCAAAAAAUCCUAAGGCUUAAAGAAGGAAAAUAACAAGUUUUAAAGGGAACAUUGCAGGUAACCAACUCUGCAAAUAUACUUUCUGCACCACAAUCACAGUAAGCUGGAAACUUCUCCAAAAAAGCAUAAAUAUUCCAUUCUGUAAUUUAUAACCUUUUGUGAGACAUGAUAAUUUAGCUCUGCCACCAUGUGUGCAUGUACCACUGAGUAGUCAUAGGCAGGGGUACUGCCUAUGUAGGUUGUUCAGUCUCUCUGAAAAGCAAUGAAUGUCUCCAGCGUUUGUUCUUCAAGAUGUAAGGUUGCUCUGAAAGUAACACCUCCUAUUUAUUUCCAUGGAAUCUACAACUGAUAGAAUAACGCUAUUUGAUAGAGCAGAUUUUCAGCUGUUGGAACUGUUUUCCAACGUAGUCACCAACAUUACUUAAGCAUUUUCACCAGCAAUGACCAAGGGUCUGCAUGCCAUGCUCAUAAAAAUCUGUACCCAGUGGAGGUGACUCAUUGUGCCGCUUGCUCCCUUGUGCCUUGCAGCAAUCAGGAAAGCUGGGAUUCAGCCACCUUCCUGCCCUAGCACCUGUGCAGAAUGCCUUAUUGUCCAAUGCAUGUGCUUUUCUAAGCAGUGUGUGAUUUCUUUCUGCUAGCUAUCAAGAGUGUCCCAUUAGAUGUUUGUAAUGCAGUACUUUGCUAAAUAGCGUGAUUUGGUCAUCCUCCUACUCCUUGCCUGAAAACUUCUCAAAUUCUUUUAGCAUCCAUUAGUUUUGUAAUUAUUCAAAUUAAUUAGGUCAUUAUCACAGGAGAAAGAAAUUUCUCUUUUCCCUACAUGCAAAAUAAUUGUUCUGAUACAGUAUUUCUGCCACAAAAACUCUGAGAUUGACAGGCUGGGAUGGUGACCGUGGCAGAAGACCUUGCAGACGCAGCUCUCUCAUCUGAACAUCCUUUUUACUCUACAGUAGAAACAAUGAGGAGAAUAAUUUACUUUCAUGAAAAUCCUACUGAGCGUGAAUGAGCAAAACAGAGAGAACUCUCCUUAGCUGGGAUCUUCGUGGUGUGCUGUGCCUCACUUCAGAUCGCCACACUGACCUCGAUGUUUAGGAAGGAUACCAUUAUUUAAAAAUAAUUCCAGUAUGCCAUGGAUGGCAUUUGCUAUCAGCAGGGUGCUCAGAGAUCCUACACUUUGAAGGAAGACACGGUCAUUGAAUUACCAUGAUGUACAUACUCCUUACUGUUUUUGGACACUUGGCAAUCUGAUACGAUUUAUCUGUGCAGAAAACUUCCUGGAUUGGAACAGCAUCACUGUAAGGUGUUCCCCAAAAGAGAGUUCAAAGCUGAUUGAUUGACAUACAAAGAAAACUGCUGUAAUAGACAACAAAACAGAUGUAAAAACUCUAGGCCAGCAUCUUGCUCUCAGGAAAAAGUUACAGUAGCUG
ensembl:lncRNA